rnacentral:rRNA from 1 species
GGUUGAUGUCAUCCGGAAGAACCCCGUGGAAGGCGUUGUAGGAGAGGUCGAGGAAGCGGAGGUGGGAGCAGGCGUAGAGCGGGACGCCGGAGAAGCCAUUGGUAAGAUAGUUGUAGGAGAGGUCGAGGUGGGUGAGGCUCAGUAGGUCGCACACCGACUCUGCCACCUUGCCGGUGAUGUUUAGAUUCGGCAAUGAUAUCCCUAUCACUGCACGUCCGUCGUCGCCACCGCAGACCACGCCGGU